rnacentral:rRNA from 1 species
UACAGAGGUCUCAACCGUUGUUCGGAUUCAUUGGGCGUAAAGGGUGCGUAGGCGGUCGCGUAAGUCAGGUGUGAAAUCCCGGGGCUCAACCCCGGAACUGCACUUGAUACUGCGUGGCUAGGGUACUGGAGAGGAGACUGGAAUUUACGGUGUAGCAGUGAAAUGCGUAGAUAUCGUAAGGAAGACCAGUGGCGAAGGCGAGUCUCUGGACAGUUACCGACGCUGAGGCACGAAGGCCAGGGGAGCAAACGGG